CCCACCCAGAAAAAAAAAGGGAAGAAGACUCCUGAUCGGAGUCUUCCCCUUCUCCGAUUUCGAUCAGGAAUUGGAGUCCUAGGGCCAUUAAAAGACCUUAGGACGAGCCCUAUAAGAACCCCCCACCUCUCCUCUAAGAGAGGACACAAUAGUCACCGACGAUCACCGGAGUUCUUCUCCGAUUUUCCCGAUUGAAGCCGCGGCCCCUCGACUCGUGCUCGCCGUGAUUUCACGCCGGUGGGGGUCAUCGGAGGCCGUGGUAAGUCCUUCCUCCUCUUCCUCUCUUCUCUCCCUUCUUUCCCAUGUCUGUGGACAUGACCGCCGGCGACAGGAGCCGUCGGAUUUCGUCGAAGAAGAAAGCCCUGUUCUUCUCUCCCUUUUUUUGAUUUUUUUUAUGGCACCGACGGUCACCGCCGACCGCCGGCUUUGGCCUCCGAGCACGGGAGGGUCGCCUCUUGCCGCCAGCCACCGUCGGGCGGGGAAUGGCCGUGAUCGGCCGAUCAAAGGCAUGGGGACCUCUAGGUCCCCUGUUUCGAUCAAAGAAGGCCAC
rnacentral:lncRNA from 1 species